rnacentral:rRNA from 1 species
GUCCACGCCGUAAACUAUGGAUGCUAGCUGUUAGAAGUAUCGACCCUUCUAGUAGCGAAGCUAACGCGUUAAGCAUCCCGCCUGUGGAGUACGAGCGCAAGCUUAAAAACAUAAAGGAAUUGACGGGGACCCGCACAAGCGGUGGAGCGUGUUCUUUAAUUCGAAGGUAAGCGAAGAACCUUACCAAGGUUUGACAUCCUGCGAAUUUCUCCGAAAGGAGAGAGUGCUUUAUGAGCGCAGUGACAGGUGUUGCAUGGCCGUCGU